rnacentral:lncRNA from 1 species
AGGCCAGCCAUCUCCAGCUGUGUCAGUUUCAAAACAAGAAGACUGCAGAAUACAUAUGCAGUGACAGGAUUGCUACACAGCUUUGCUCACAGGUUGCCUGCAACAUGAAAUAGGCAAAAGAACCUGAGAAAAAUGGAGGAAGUGAGUCUGAGAAUCAAUAACCCAUUCAUACAGUGAAGAAUAAAAUUAUCUUCUAAGGGCCCUGGCCCCAGACUGGCCACUCUAGAUCCAUGCACAGUAACUGCUUCUAGGCCUUCUUGGAGGAGGUCAGCGUGCCAGUGACUCUCCACUCCAGACAAGCAGUUUGGAAGUGAACUGUAUCCACAGUGUCUCCAGGUCUUUCAUUGCAUAAGACAGUGCUACUCCUCGAAACAAGAGCACAGAGGAGACUCAGGCCAAAAUCUGUGCAGUGCGAAUGUGGCUUGUCCUUUCCAGUAGUUUCCAAACCUGUGUGCCUUUGGCACAAAGCAGUCCAUAUUGAUUGGAGUGGAGGCCACCAGUCUUCAACUGACCUGAUCCACUGCAGUGGUAUGGACCUAGAUGAUUCAUUUUCAAAGAACUUCUCUUCUUGGGGAGAGGAGAGCAAGCAAGAGAAAACUCCUUUGAAUCCAGUGUUAUUUUCUGCAUAUCAUGAACUUAAAGAUUCAUCCAGAGAGGUUGCAGUCACAAGCUCCGCUUCAGGACACCUGGGCUUGGAUGCAGACCUGAUUUCCUGUGUGACUUUGUGAAUUGCUCUCAGCCUGAAAUCCAGCUCUGCGAAACAUUCAUCCACCUCUCCGUUUCAAGGGAAAAUCUCCCUGAAGGAGAGCGUUUUGUACAGGGCCUAGCACAACAGGGCUCUGCUCUUGGUUUAAGGACCGUUUGGGCUGUUACUUUAUUGAUUAAUCAGUAGCAGUGUGGUUAGAAAUAAAACGAAGAACCCAGCCUUCA